rnacentral:rRNA from 1 species
UACAGAGGUCUCAAGCGUUGUUCGGAUUCAUUGGGCGUAAAGGGUGCGUAGGCGGCGCGGUAAGUCGGGUGUGAAAUCUUGGAGCUUAACUCCGAAACUGCAUUCGAUACUGCCGUGCUUGAGGACUGGAGAGGAGACUGGAAUUUACGGUGUAGCGGUGAAAUGCGUAGAUAUCGUAAGGAAGACCAGUGGCGAAGGCGGGUCUCUGGACAGUUCCUGACGCUGAGGCACGAAGGCCAGGGAGCAAAACGGG